rnacentral:rRNA from 1 species
ACGGAAGGCAGCAGUGGGGAAUAUUGGGCAAUGGGCGGAAGCCUGACCCAGCAACGCCGCGUGAAGGAAGAAGGUUUUCGGAUUGUAAACUUCUGUCCUUGGUGACGAAGGAAGUGACGGUAGCCAAGGAGGAAGCCCCGGCUAACUACGUGCCAGCAGCCGCGGUAAUACGUAGGGAGCAAGCGUUAUCCGGAUUUACUGGGUGUAAAGGGCGUGUAGGCGGGACUACAAGUCAGAUGUGAAAGCACGAGGCUCAACUUCGUGUCUGCAUUUGAAACUGUAGUUCUUGAGUGUUGGAGAGGCUAACGGAACUCCUAGUGUAGCGGUGAAAUGCGUAGAUAUUAGGAAGAACACCAGUGGCGAAGGCGGUUAGCUGGACAAUAACUGACGCUGAGGCGCGAAAGCGUGGGUAGCAAACAGGAUUAGAUACCCUGGUA